AUGCCAGAUAUUAUCCACUUCGGCCAGUCCGGAUUCAUUAGAGGAAGAGGCAUUGCGGACAAUUUCCUCCAUGCCGCAGACAUCGUCCAAACUUGCUUUAGGAGGAAAACACCUACUAUCGUCCUUAAACUUGACUUUUACAAAGCCUUUGACUCUGUCUGCUGGGACGCCUUGACAACAAUUUUGCGUGCCAAAGGUUUCCCCGUGCAAUGGGAUGACUGGAUCAGAUCUCUGAAUGACUCUACAAACUUCGCUAUUUUGCUUAACGGACGCCCCGGCCCGUGGUUCCCCUGCCGUUGUGGUCUUAGACAAGGGGACUCCCUCUCCCCCUACCUCUUUCUGAUUGUCGCCGACGUUCUUCAGCGUAUGAUCUUAUGUGCCUCUCAAUCUAGUAUGCUCUCUCACCCUCUAGAAUCUAGAUGA
rnacentral:rRNA from 1 species